rnacentral:lncRNA from 1 species
CUUUUGUGAAAGUUUAGUGAAAGGUUCAUAGAUAUUAUCGUUCCCUGUAACCCAUAUAUACUCCAAUCACAGCUGGAUAUCGUUGUCUUAUUUUGAGGACUACACAAGAGGGGCAAACACGGCGAUUCCCUUUGCCCAAAUACCCAUGCCGAGCCAAUAUGAAUUGUCUGUACCCAGCUUUGCGAAAUGACCUAGUACUAUUAUCUUCUCUAUCAUUUAUUAUGUCGCUUGUGUUUCUUAUGCACAGUUCUAGCACAUCCGGAUCCAGGCAUGUCUUGGAAAAACGUGAAGAUAAUGUUAUGCAAUUUUUUAGUUUGCAACACUUAUUUUCAAUUUCU